rnacentral:lncRNA from 1 species
AUGCUCAGCUGGCUGGGCUGGCCGGCCAAUGAAAUGCAAAGAUGGGCCUGUAUCAGCCCAACAGGAGAGUUGGAGUGUCUUAUGUGCCUGAAGUCGGCUUCUGCAUCUUGCUCUGUAUCUUAUUUCUCCUCGAUCCCGGGAUACAAGAACAACUGGUAUCCUGUAAAGCAGAAAAGAAGCCAAGAACAGAGAACAGAGUCAAUGGAAGGGAACAAAGGGACUUUGUGAUUUUGAUUUUAAUUAUACUGACUCCUUG